GGAGAGAUGGCGGAGUGGUCGAUCGCGGCGGCUUGCUAAGCCGUUGAGUCAGUUCAGUCUGGCUCCGGGGGUUCGAAUCCCCCUCUCUCCG
rnacentral:tRNA from 1 species